rnacentral:rRNA from 1 species
GACGAACGCUGGCGGCGCGCCUAACACAUCCAAGUCGAACGAGCGAGAGAGAGCUUGCUUUCUCGAGCGAGUGGCGAACGGGUGAGUAACGCGUGAGGAACCUGCCUCAAAGAGGGGGACAACAGUUGGAAACGACUGCUAAUACCGCAUAAGCCCACAGGUCGGCAUCGACCAGAGGGAAAAGGAGCAAUCCGCUUUGAGAUGGCCUCGCGUCCGAUUAGCUAGUUGGUGAGGUAACGGCCCACCAAGGCGACGAUCGGUAGCCGGACUGAGAGGUUGAACGGCCACAUUGGGACUGAGACACGGCCCAGACUCCUACGGGAGGCAGCAGUGGGGAAUAUUGCACAAUGGGGGAAACCCUGAUGCAGCGACGCCGCGUGGAGGAAGAAGGUCUUCGGAUUGUAAACUCCUGU